rnacentral:lncRNA from 1 species
CCUUGUGAUAGUUCGUUGUGGCGAGCAUGUCCACUUCCGGGUAAAGUGCAGGGAUGCUGUGCCAGAGGAAUACGAGUGAAAGGCGAGACAGCGAUGAGACCCUGGGUAGCUUAUGUUCGGCAGCUGCAGGUCUUUGAGGAAAGAAGUACCUGUGCUCAUGGCUCGUGAUUCACACCUGCGAAGAUACAGGACCCGCCGCCAUCCCCCCAGGGGGAGCAGGAUGAGGACCCUCAGGGGAGGAGCCGGGUAGCAGGCCGCCCGACUCCCAUCCGGUUCUGAGGUGCUUGGGGUUCACCAGAGCAGCCAGCGGUGGAAGCAGCCCGAUCUCAGUUCCAAUGCGAGGCAGCCUUGCUGAAGGGUGGAAGAGAACGAGAAAGCCAGCCACGCCUUGAGCACAGGCGUCUCCUUCACUGCUCCCAGAGCCAAAAUUCCCUCCACUCCAGCAGAGAGAGCCAGGAAGGGUGGAAACCAGAAGGGCUCUCAGUUCGGUGCAACCCAGCUGUGUGUGUUGUUCAACCACAGACUGCAGAAUCUGACCACCCUAACUAGCGAAGAAGACAUGAGUCCCCUGCAAUUUGCCGAGUUGAGAAAAGGCCUCCAGCUGUGGCUUUAUUGAUGCAGACCAGACGAGAACAACACCACUGCUAGUGUCCUGAAACACUUUCAUCCCUGUCAUUGG